rnacentral:siRNA from 1 species
UCGGGGCGUGGACCGACGCGGA